GAUCAUGGCUCAGAUUGAACGCUGGCGGAAUGCUUUACACAUGCAAGUCGAGCGGCAGCGCGGGGCAACCUGGCGGCGAGCGGCGAACGGGUGAGUAAUACAUCGGAACGUGCCCAGACGUGGGGGAUAGCCCGGCGAAAGCCGGAUUAAUACCGCAUACGAUCUGAGGAUGAAAGCGGGGGAUCGCAAGACCUCGCGCGUUUGGAGCGGCCGAUGGCAGAUUAGGUAGUUGGUGGGGUAAAGGCUUACCAAGCCUGCGAUCUGUAGCUGGUCUGAGAGGAUGAUCAGCCACACUGGGACUGAGACACGGCCCAGACUCCUACGGGAGGCAGCAGUGGGGAAUUUUGGACAAUGGGCGCAAGCCUGAUCCAGCCAUUCCGCGUGCAGGAUGAAGGCCUUCGGGUUGUAAACUGCUUUUGUACAGAACGAAAAGGCUCUGGUUAAUACCUGGGGCUCAUGACGGUACUGUAAGAAUAAGCACCGGCUAACUACGUG
rnacentral:rRNA from 1 species